GAUGAACGCUGGCGGCGUGCCUAACACAUUCAAGUCGAACGGAGAUACUAGUGGAAGUUUUCGGAUGGAAGCUAAUAUCUUAGUGGCGGACGGGUGAGUAACGCGUGAGCAACCUGCCUUUGCAUUUGGGAUAACAGCCGGAAACGGCUGCUAAUACCGAAUAACGUAUACGAGUUGCAUGGCUUGUAUACCAAAGAUCCGUCGUGCAAAGAUGGGCUCGCGUCUGAUUAGAUAGUUGGUGAGGUAACGGCUCACCAAGUCAACGAUCAGUAGCCGGUCUGAGAGGAUGAACGGCCACAUUGGGACUGAGAUACGGCCCAGACUCCUACGGGAGGCAGCAGUGGGGAAUAUUGGGCAAUGGGGGAAACCCUGACCCAGCAACGCCGCGUGAAGGAAGAAGGCCUUCGGGUUGUAAACUUCUUUUAGUAGGGACGAAUACGUGACGGUACCUACAGAAAAAGCAACGGCUAACUACGUG
rnacentral:rRNA from 1 species